GAUGAAGAACGUAGCGAAAUGCGAUACGUAAUGUGAAUUGCAGAAUUCAGUGAAUCAUCGAAUCUUUGAACGCAUAUUGCGCUCUCUGGUAUUCCGGAGAGCAUGCUUGUUUGAGUAUCAGUAAACACCUCAACUCCCCUUUCUUUUUUUGAAAUGGGAGCUGGACUUGAGUGAUCCCAACGCUAUUCUCACCGAAAAGUGGCGGGUUACUUGAAAUGCAGGUGCAGCUGGACUUUUCUCUGAGCUAAAAGCAUAUCUAUUUAGUCUGCCUAAUAAACAGAUUAUUACCUUUGCUGCAGCUAACAUAAAGGAGAUUAGUUCUUGUGCUGACUGAUGCAGGAUUCACAGAGACAGCUUCGGCUGGCCUUUGUAAACUCGAUCUCAAAUCAAGUAAGACUACCCGCUGAACUUAAGCAUAUCAAUAGCGGAGGA
rnacentral:misc_RNA from 1 species